GGUCCUGGAGCCCGUUCUGGAGCCUCCCGGCCUGGAUUCCCCGGACGCGCCCUGCAGGUCCCCGGGCCGAGGGCAGGGCGGGCGCCGGGUGGUCCGGGAGGGCGGGCGCCAGGGUCCUCCCCGCGCCCGCCCUCUUCCUCCGAGGCAGCUGGAGACCCCCGGGCUCCCCUCCCCCGCCGCCCGCCACAUCUGGUUCCACUCAGGUCCUCCCCCACCUUCAGGCGCGCUCCUCCUCCUUUCUCCCCCGCUUUCAGAAAAGCGGAGCUGAUUUUUUAAAGCCCAGUCUCACACACACACGCACACACGCUUCUGGAAAAAAAAGGAGGGAAAAGUUGGGAGAGGCCCGCUCCCCGGCGCUCCCCCCGCGCCCGGCCCCCGAAGUUGGCCAAGUUGGCAGCGCCUUACCCGGGAGGGCGGCGGCGGCGGCGCUGGCGGCGGCGGCGGCGGCCCGGGAGCAGCCGAGGUGCAGACCCCCGAGGAGCAGGACGCAGCGCAGCAGGUCACCGCAGCACAGAGCACUGGGCUGAGAAUUAGGAUGCUGGAGUCCAGCUCCACCUCUACAUCUGAUUCCCGGAGCGACCUUGGAAAAGUUACUUGGGCUGUCUAGGCUCAAAGCCGGACGGAGAAAUGUAGAGACCCUAAUGCAAACAUUCACGUUCUCCCACCGCGAGUAAUCAAAUAAAAACACUAUGAAACCGUAA